AUUGAACGCUGGCGGCAUGCCUUACACAUGCAAGUCGAACGGUAACGGGCCUUCGGGUGCCGACGAGUGGCGAACGGGUGAGUAAUACAUCGGAACGUGCCCGAUCGUGGGGGAUAACGAGGCGAAAGCUUUGCUAAUACCGCAUACGAUCUACGGAUGAAAGCAGGGGACCGCAAGGCCUUGCGCGGACGGAGCGGCCGAUGGCAGAUUAGGUAGUUGGUGGGAUAAAAGCUUACCAAGCCGACGAUCUGUAGCUGGUCUGAGAGGAUGAUCAGCCACACUGGGACUGAGACACGGCCCAGACUCCUACGGGAGGCAGCAGUGGGGAAUUUUGGACAAUGGGCGCAAGCCUGAUCCAGCCAUGCCGCGUGCAGAAUGAAGGCCUUCGGGUUGUAAACUGCUUUUGUACGGAACGAAAAGCCUUCUUUUAAUACAGGAGGGUCAUGACGGUACCGUAAGAAUAAGCACCGGCUAACUACGUG
rnacentral:rRNA from 1 species